rnacentral:lncRNA from 1 species
UCUAAUGGAGUGAUGUGUGAUGCAUAGAUUUGAAGAACUUGGGACAAAACAUCGCCAGUGUUGUGACCACCAAUGUUCCAGUAAGGGUGGUGAGACAGGUUAAUUGGAGUGGCCUUGUUUAGAGCUCUUGCCUUAAAUACCACGCUAAGUUUGUAAGGAUCUUUCAAUGCAUAGGUAACAGAGACAAGAACAUCACCAGGAAAUCCUACAUAAGAAAGCAAUGGAGUUUACCCGUAAUGUCAUGCUUUUAUCAACAAAAAUAUCUACAAAAAUAUCAUGACAUGUUUUAAAUCACAAGUUAUAAAAGCCUUAGUUCUUAAAUUUCGUAUCCAUAUCCAGUCAACUACGCCACAUGAACUGAAAUAAAGGAUGUAAUUGUCUUGAAUGGAUACGAAGAUUUACCUUCUUCACCAUCAGCACUGUAGUAGGUUAGAGUUAUGUAAGGACUUGGACCAUGUCGCACGUACUUGCUCACCUUCCAGACAACUUUGCUAAAUCCUUUAAGACCACCUAUAUUUUUGAAGUUUUAUUUACAUCAGAGACAGAGAAAGGAAAUUUGGCUAAAGUGAAAGAGAAAGAAAUUGUAAUUAAAAAUAUAGCGAGAGUACCAUGUAACAUGUUUACGCCUUCAUUGGCAACAAGCUUAUAAUGGGUGCCAUUCAAAGUAAAUUGAGCACCACCAAUCCGGUUAGCAACCCUUCCAAGUGCGGCUCCAAAGUAACUCGUAUCAUUCUGCACCAAAUUUUGUUCUUAAGUGAAAACAGACGGAGCUAAAUAUCCUUCAGUAUACUUCACAUCAAUCCAAAAGAUGGGAGGUUUAGGGCCUAGGGGAGAUAUUAUAGGCUUGGGACCCGGUCUUUGUUGAAGGAACUACAAUUAGACAAUGUCAAAUGACUAUGGAGACAUUGGCACAAUUCAAGGCAGGAGCGGCUCAACAAAUUUAGUGACUUAAAGUCGAACAUUAUGUGAAGAAGUUUUUAGAAAAGAGCAAGGUUGGGAUAGACGCAUAGAGUACAAUGGACAAACAAACGUGAACUAACCUUGUAUUCCUUGAUGGUGUCAUAUCCCAGAACAACAUCGCCUAUUUUUCCUGGAAAGGAUCAACACAAGGUAAAACUGAUUUCUUCAAGGAAUAGCAGAAAACAGUACUGAUAAACACAUCAAGAAGGUUCAAACAAAAGCAGAUUUAAAACAGGACUACGUUUUCUGGAAGAUGGAAUUUUUUUAAUUAACCAUUUGAUAUACCCUACUGACUAAUACAGAUUCGCGACCUAUUGAAGGUGAAUGCUACUACAAUGGCUUUCUUCAUUCAUACGGCUCGAACCCGAGACUUAUGGUUAAGAAGGGUGAUGAAAGAUGGGAUUGAUGAAGAUAGAAGACAGACAGACAUACCAUGCUUAUCAGGAAGAAAAACGGAGAUGAUUGAGGCACCAUAAUUGGUGAUCUUAACAGAGAAAUCUCCUUUCUUGAUCUCAUAUAUCCCUAUCUUGCGCCCUCUAACACUAGCAGCAGCACACAGAUGAAGAAUGAACAAACAGAUCAACAAAUUAAUCUUUGAAGACAUAGUCAGCUCCUGUAUUUUUGAGACUUUAGAGUGUCUUAGUGCAGCUUCUCCAGCCUUGAAUUUAUGCACUCCUCGGAUUCAUCUGGCAUUAUUCUGGAAUUAGAUUAUUACCUGCAUGUGAACAAAAAAGAACUUGUCUGCCUAAAUAAUCUGCGUGUAACCGGGAUAACCCCGUAUAAAAUGGACAAUGAUGAGUCCAGUCUAAGAAUUGACACAGUCAAGUUAGCCGUCUCUAUUAUUUAUGUAUAGUUAACUUCUGAAGUAGCUGUUUGCAUUGACUUGUGAAUACAAAAAAUGGUACCCACGUUGGCGUGAUUCUUAUUCUGGAAAUAAUCAAAACUUUUCCCAUAAUUUGGCAUAAAAUAUAUAUUAAACUCAACCACUUGUUCCUCCAUUUCUUGAACUAGAUCUACUCUGUAAAUACCUCGGAGGUCGUAAAUUUAGAUUUUAAUUGCCCUUCACCAAAAUUAAAACAGAUCAUAGUGUUAUUCAUAUUGUAGUCCUUCGGGUUGUGUUUAGAUUUUGUUUUAAUACUCUGCUUGUUACCCUGUUUCUUUUGCAACUUUGCAUGAUUGCAUCAACAAUUUGGUAGGACAGGAUCAAUGUCAAAAGCAUAUCUUUGGCAGUGGCGAAGCCAGGAAAUUCAACAAGGGUGUUCAAACCUUUGCCAGUGGGCUAUGUAAGGGUGUUCAAAGUCUAUUUUUAAUCAAUAACAAGUAAUAUUUUACCUUAUACGGAGUAUAAUUUUUCGGCGAAGGGUGGUCUUGAUUGAACGUAGCUUCGCCCCUGAUAUUUGGUAAAAACUAUUUAAAGAAAUCUCAACUGAGACUAUUAACAGGACACAAACUUACGAAUUUUAACUGGGUCUAGAAAAAAACUACUCCAUCUGUUUAAAAAAGAUUGACAGUAUUUCCUUAUUAGUCUGUUUUUCAAAAAGACUAACACCUUUCAAUAUUUCCUUAAUAAGAAGCAGUUAUUGUCAUACAAGUGAUAUGACAGGUUUCAGACCACAAGUUUCAAAAGUAUUACAGCCACACAAAUGCUAUGGCUUAUUUAAGACCACAUAUCUCAAAAAUCUUCUUUUGUUAUUAAUAUUUGUGUCAAAUCAAACUAAAACAAUCUCUUUGAAACGGAGGAAGUAUCAAUUAUUCUAAAUGUAGGUGUUUUAUUUGUCACAAAGAACAUAUAAUAGUCAAUUUCAUCCAUGGUCAUUGAACUUUUGUGUUUGUUACCCAAAAGUCACUUUUUUUUUGUUACGUAAAAAUCAUUUAACUUUGUGUUCAUUACUCAAAAGUCUCUAUUCUUUUUUUUGUUACACAAAAAUCAUUUUACUUUGCUCUAGUUAUCAUAAAAGUCACAUUUGCCAGAUUUUAUAAUAUUUUUACUUCAAAAGUCUAUUAUACCCUUGAUAUUAUAUAAAUCUUCCUAUUUAUAUAAUACCUUCUAUAUUAUAUAUUAUAUAAUAUAUUUUUAACCUAGGUAUUUUAUUUAUAACUAAAAUAUUUUAAUAUUAUUUUAUUUAUUUUUUUUAUAAUAUAUACGUACAUUUAAUUUUUCCUUAACUAAUUUAUUUUUACUUUUUACCUGUGUUUUACCCGCCCGAACGUACCAACAAGUUUGAAAUCAUAAAAUGGACUUGCUCGAACCCUCGGAAUGCGUAAAACAACAUCAAAACUAAGAAUGAUACCCCAAACCAAAUGGAUUCAACUUAGAAUUUUGAAAUUCUUCAAACUCACUUCGAACACGCCGAAACAUACUUAAACUACUCAGAUUAACAACAAAUUUUGCGUGCAACUCUUAAAUCACCAUACGGAACUAUUUCCAGGCUCGAAAUUCCAAACGGACCUCGAUUACUCCAAAACAUACUCAAAACCAAAAUUUAAAUAACUUUAAAACCUUCAAUUAGUCAACUUUCACUGUUAAGCGCCGAAACGCCCCGGGUUGUCCAAAACCCGACCCGAACGUACUCCCAAGUCAAAAAUCAUCAUACGAACCUAUUGAAACCGUCAAAUCUCGAUUCCGGUGUUGUUUCCUAAAAAUGUUGACCGAAGUCAAACUUGAUCUUUUAAAGCCAAACUAAGGAACCAAGUGUUCCGAUUUCAACCAAAACCCUUCUAAAUCCCGAACUAACCAUCCUCGCAAGUCAUAAAACAAUAAAAGCACAUAUGGGGAGUCUUAUUUAGGGGAAUGGGGUUCUAGAAGGUAAAAUGACCGAUUGAGUCGUUACAAGUGGUUAAGAACGUUGACGUGAGAUUUGUUCAUAGUAAAGUUACUUACAAAUUUAAUAACGCUACCAAUAUAUCUUAAAAAUUAACGUUAAGAAAAAAUUAAAUAUACAAAUAUAUUAUAAAAAUAAUAAAUAAAAUAAUAUUAAGUUAUUUUAGUUAUAAAUAAAAUACCUAGGUAAAAAUAUAUUAUAUAGUAUAUACUAUAGAAGGUAUUAUAUAAAUAUGAAGAUUUAUAUAAUAUCAAGGGCAUAAUAGACUUUUUAAGUAAAAAUAUUAUAAAAUCUGGCAAAUGUGACUUUUGUGAUAACUAGAGCAAAGUAAAAUGAUUUUUGUAUAACAAAAGAAAGAAAAAUGACUUUUGAGUAAUGAUCACAAAGUUAAAUGAUUUUUACGUAAAAAAAAAAAAAAAAGGUAGACUUUUGGGUAACAAACACAAAAGUUCAAUCACCAUGGAUAAAAUUAACUCUAACAUAUAACCUUGACAGAAACAUCAAUUUAUGCAGAAGAUACAAAUGCCAGAAGCAUAAUGGAAAUUUUAAAAAAAAAAUAUAAGCAUUGUAGUACUCCUACUUUUUUAUGGAGAACGUAUACAAAACAGAGUGGACGUAUUUCUCUCCCGGAUUUACAAUUGUCGACGGGAAAUUAGGGUGAUUCACAGCGUCAGGGAACACUAGAGUCUCCAAAGACAAUGCUGAAUGAGGUUGAUAAACAAAACCACCUUUCCCUUUUAUAUUAUUAACCCCAUUUGCAGUGUAGAAUUGGACACCAGGUGCAGAUGCUUGUACAUCCAUCACUCUUCCUGAUUUCUUAUCAUAAACUAUUCCCACGGGUUUCAUUUUUUCAUUGCUGUCAAGUACAUAGUUGAUGUCAUAUCCAUUUUUGAGUUUAUUGAUCCUGCUCCCCACUUUACGGGGUUUCAAGAAAUCAUACGGCGUGUUCUUGACGGGGGCAAUUUCGCCUGUGGGAAUGAACUGUUUAUCUACUAGGGUGAUGUGUGAUCCAAAAAUUUGAAGAACUUGGGACAAGACGUCGCCACUGUUGUGUCCACCAAUGUUCCAGUAAGGGUGGUGAGACAGGUUAAUUGGAGUGGCCUUGUUCAGUGCUUUUGCCCUAAAUACCACGCUAAGUUUGUAGGGAUCUUUCAAUGCAUAGGUAACAGAGGCAAGAACAGCACCAGGAAAUCCUACAUAAGAAAACAAUGGAGUUUAUUCAAUUCAUUAGUGUUCUUCAAAAAGAAGUUACUCCAUCAAUUGAAACUGAAUGUGUAAUUGUCUUGUAUGGAAUACCAAGAUUUACC